UACGUAGGUGGCAAGCGUUGUCCGGAUUUACUGGGCGUAAAGAGCGCGCAGGCGGUCGUUCAAGUCGCGUGUGAAAGCCCCCCGGCUCAACUGGGGAGGGUCACGCGAUACUGAUCGACUGGAAGGCAGGAGAGGGUAGUGGAAUUCCCGGUGUAGUGGUGAUAUGCGUAGAUAUCGGGAGGAACACCAGUGGCGAAGGCGGCUCUCUGGGCUCUACCUGACGCUGAGACGCGAAAAGCGUGGGGAGCGAACCGG
rnacentral:rRNA from 1 species